UAGAGUUUGAUCAUGGCUCAUAACGAACGCUGGCGGCAGGCUUAACACAUGCAAGUCGAGCGCCCCGCAAGGGGAGCGGCAGACGGGUGAGUAACGCGUGGGAAUCUACCCAUCCCUACGGAAUAACGCAUGGAAACGUGUGCUAAUACCGUAUACGCCCUUAGGGGGAAAGAUUUAUCGGGGAUGGAUGAGCCCGCGUUGGAUUAGCUAGUUGGUGGGGUAAAGGCCUACCAAGGCGACGAUCCAUAGCUGGUCUGAGAGGAUGAUCAGCCACAUUGGGACUGAGACACGGCCCAAACUCCUACGGGAGGCAGCAGUGGGGAAUAUUGGACAAUGGGCGCAAGCCUGAUCCAGCCAUGCCGCGUGAGUGAUGAAGGCCUUAGGGUUGUAAAGCUCUUUCACCGAUGAAGAUAAUGACGGUAGUCGGAGAAGAAGCCCCGGCUAACUUCGUGCCAGCAGCCGCGGUAAUACGAAGGGGGCUAGCGUUGUUCGGAAUUACUGGGCGUAAAGCGCAUGUAGGCGGAUAUUUAAGUCAGGGGUGAAAUCCC
rnacentral:rRNA from 1 species